rnacentral:rRNA from 1 species
GACGAACGCUGGCGGCGUGCUUAACACAUGCAAGUCGAACGAUGAUCUGCGGAGCUUGCUUCGCGGGGAUUAGUGGCGAACGGGUGAGUAACACGUGAGCAAUCUGCCCCUGACUCUGGGAUAAGCGCUGGAAACGGCGUCUAAUACCGGAUACGACCCCCGAGGGCAUCCUCUGGGGGUGGAAAGAAUUUCGGUUGGGGAUGAGCUCGCGGCCUAUCAGCUUGUUGGUGAGGUAAUGGCUCACCAAGGCGACGACGGGUAGCCGGCCUGAGAGGGUGACCGGCCACACUGGGACUGAGACACGGCCCAGACUCCUACGGGAGGCAGCAGUGGGGAAUAUUGCACAAUGGGCGAAAGCCUGAUGCAGCGACGCCGCGUGAGGGAUGACGGCCUUCGGGUUGUAAACCUCUUUCAGCAGGGAAGAAGCGAAAGUGACGGUACCUGCAGAAGAAGCACCGGCUAACUACGUGCCAGCCGCCGCUGUAACAC